ACUUUUUCCUAAAAUAACUAAUCCAAAUCCCAUGAAAUCACGUCUCUCCCCAAAAUCUAAAAGACCUACACUAAUCCUAUUUCCCCAUCCCUCACGUCCUCUUUGCCCUUCAAAUCCUCAACCAAAACCAAUCUCUUAAGCCCUACUCCCUUAAAAUUCUCAACAAAACUUAUCCUCCAAUUCUCCUACUCCUUCACGUCCCUAUUUUCACUAGCACACACUUGCACAAGACCCACAAACCUCACCUAUAUAAAACACGCACAAAAACACCAAACAAAAUAUAUACAUCCACAAACACAUAUACAAAAAACACAGAGAACAAAAAAAGGAAAAAACAUAGAGUAAAAACUCAAAGAAGAACACAGAUGGAGAAAAAGAAACGGAGAAGCAAAAUAAAAACACUAAGGAAACAAAAUGGAAAGAACUUGGCCGUGAAACACCACCAAAAUGCCACCGAAAAUCACUGCCAGAGUGAGGUAUCGUUCGAGUUUAUCGGUUCGAGGUUCUAGUCAAUAGCUCGUUUGAGGAUUCCAGUUUUUGAGUUCUGCUUUCAUUGUGCACUGCAAUAUUGACAUAGAAGGGGUGUGACAACAAUGAGUUCUAUUUCGGAGGUACUACGGGGGGACCGAGUAAUGCUACUACGCAGUUGCAGAAUUUGGAUUGUAAUGUCUGACACCCUUCACAUCCAGGUCCAAGUGAAUUGGACAGUGAUAGUCCAUUAGAUCACGAAGGGAUGGAUGAUGAUCAAUCGUCUGCUGAUGAUGACAAUUCUGAUGAAGACGUUGCGGCCCCCGAUGGUCUUAGUGUUAAUUAUCAUUCAAAUGUGAUCCUAUAUUUGGAUAAUACAGAAGAAGAAGGACCGGAAGAUUUUGCAAACAUGAGAGAUAACGGGUCUGUUCGGGCUGCACUUUGAACUUAAAGUUAUCAAAUCAGUAUCAGGUUGGGUCUGCUUCCAUCUCUUGUGGCUGAUAGUCGCCUUCAACAUAGGUUUGAGUUUCUAGGGUGAGCACGAGACGUUCGCUGCCUUGAAGAUUCUUCCUAUUUAUGUCUUACUAUUUCUAUUCUGAGACAUAGACAGAUUUAUGUAUUAUUAUAUUCCAGACUUGUAUAUUUUUCAUUAAAUGCUUUUGUAUGGCUUAGACCAGACCCUGGGGGUAUUUUUCUUACUUCCGCGCUAUUUCUAUUAUUUAUUAUUGUGAGACUU